GAGGGGAUAGCUCAGUGGUAGAGUGCCUGCCUAGCAUGCACAAGGUCCUGGGUUCAAUUCCCAGUACCUCCA
rnacentral:tRNA from 1 species